ACUACUGAAUACCUUUGCAGUCCCAACCGGGCACUGAAGUCCUAGAAAACUCCGGAGUUCCGUCUUCUUCAGUCGAUUCUGGAAAGCCCUGGGAUCUGAUGUCAGCAGGGAACUCCAGUGACUGCAACACAGAGAGAUGCUCUUGUUCAAGAAGAAGUCAGGCAGUGCUGAUUACAUCUGAACCACGGGUGAAGGUGUCUUUUAUUUUGAAGGAGGGUCUUUCCCCUUCUGCUAAUCCUGUCUGGAAGUCUCACUGAAAUGCCCACAGCUGCUUCAAACUCCUGCCGCCAUGGCUUCCCUGCGCUGAUGGUUCACACCUUAAACAACUCAUCACCAGCUGUGUUGGAUUGUCUGCUGCGUGAUGAUGUCUGUUGCCGAAAAGCAGCACCUUGCCUGCCUUGUGUGUGCGUUGUGUGUACUUGCUGGGACAGCGUGGACCCUUACCUGAGAUUAGCUGAUGGAUAAAUACACAGCCCAGAAUGACAUUGAAGCCAAUGACAUCCAACUGCUUCUUCUUCCCAGAAGCCGGAGUGUGGACAUUCUAAGAGCAGCUCGGUUAACACUCUCUUUUGGGUCCUUACAAGUGGAUGUAGGCUGCUGUGACAGGGAAGGCCUGAAAACAGGAGGAGGAGGAGGGAGAUGAUUACAUUGGAUCCAUGCUCAGAAAAUACAGAGCAAUGAAUCUUUGUGGUCAGGUCCAUGUGUCCUUUAUAUUUGGGUUGGAACUCCCCACCCAUCCACAUGAAAUGGUACCACUCACCUGUAAGAAGUCGUAUAAGAAGAGUUGAUGUCUCACAGCUGAAGUCUUGACUGGAAUUCAGAAGAUGAAUGGGAUUAAAGGGAAAGAUGGGUUGUGGGUGAGGUACACCAUGUGUAGUGAGCACCUGCUCAGAGUUUGGGGUCACACUGAAGUUGUGAGAAGGGUGCUUUAUACUGUGGCCCCCUAAAAGCAGAAGGUGCUGUCCAAAGAACAGGUAUUGCUACACAACUCCCACAGCUCAGCUCCAAUGAGUAAGACAGGCUUUGUUUAUCACCGCCUCCCCACCCAAACCACACUCAAAUAAGCAGCACAAACCUCCAGACCUUAGUCAUCAGGCGAGGUAAAUUACAAACUUCUAAGAGUGUGGCUUCUCCGAGAUACCACAUUUUCCUCGUAUAAUGAGCCUGCAGUUUGUGGCAAAGAAUGACUUAAGAACAAGUGAACUCACUGUCUAAAAAGAGAGUUUUUAUCACUAUCAAUUGCUCCCUGACUGACAGGACUGUUAUUUCUUUCAGUAGGAGAAAGGGCUAAAAUACAGAGAGAAAACCUAGAAAUAAACACAGCCUGCAUAAUGGCAAGGUUUUGUGUUGCCAACGUCAAAAGAGCAAGUUCCUGGGCAAGAGACUUCGCUUACUCCUGUUACAGUGACUUCGUUUGCUUCUGAGUCCUUUAAAGCAGCGGCCACAGCCAGUUUGCCAUCAGAAAGCGGUACCCCUGUAAACCUGGAGCUCAGUUGAGCAAGAAGAGGCUGGUGCACGAAGCGUUAGGAAUCCACAUGCAGAGACUUGAGGUGGAAAUACUGUGGCAGCGUACACGGAAGGCUCCAGGGGAUCCAUCCUUGGGGGAGUGUCCCUCAAGGUUUCCCACAAAUGACACUGAGGUAGAUAUGGCACGAUGUGUAGGAAUAACCACAGAGAGGGGAGAAAAGUUGUUCUUCUCGGCAGUAACACGGAGGCAGUUCCGUUCACUUCAGUGGGCCUUUCUCACUGCUUUCUUUGGAAGAGAGAUUUCCAGUAGCCGCAAGUUCAAGCUCAAAGAAAAGAAAAGGACUUGGCCACGCUUUAGGCAUCUGUGAUAGAAGACCAGGCUAGAGCUGGAGUUGGUCAGCCUUGGUCUUAUCUGGGAGCAGGAAGAUGGUAUGAAGUUAUUCCUGAGGAUUUUAAGUGCUGAAGAAAUGAGCCGAGGGAAUCUACAACAUCCCAGUUCCAAAUAUGAAAGAUGCAGCUGUGACCACAAUCAAAUUUGUUGUGGCCAUGAAUAUAUAAAUAAGCCUUAGCCCAAGAACUCUGCCGCUUCCCAGAAACGAGCAGAUGCUGACUAAGCUGGUUGCACUGGGAGGGGUUUCUACAGACUCCUACAGUCUUCAAGUCAUCCAGUCUAAAUCUUCCAAACAGCAAUGGCUCAUGUGAGUAAGAGAUAGGACUGUCACCCUUCUUGGUUCCUCAGCACUCCAGAGCUCCCGUCUCUUCUGAAAACCACAAGAGUGAUGAUGUUGCCUGCUCAUGCUCAGCAGCCAUGAUGUAUGUCUUGAAUGCAGGGAUCACAAUGUGAGCUCUCAGCUUAUGUUCCUGCCACCGUAUUUUCAAGCCACCAUCAUGGACUCUAAU